GUAAACACUUUGGCCCGCCGCCAUCCUUAUAAAGCCAAUUAUGGACCGAGCGGGGCGAGAGUGGGGAGGGGAAGUUUCAAGGCUCCCCGGCGGGGAGGGCUGAAUGGGCGAAGCGGGCGGUGGGAAUUCAGAGAGGCGGUUUCAAGGUGUCCCCCCAACCCCGUUUUUUUUUUCCUCCGCCUCUGGUCUGCUCUGGCUGAUCAUAAACAGAAAAUCGGGGCGGGGGGGGUGGCUGCCAUCUUCAGCCCUCCCCCCCAACCCCGAGGGAGGGGUUGCAAGCCGGCCACCGCCUCGCCCACCCCACAUGUCUUUGGGGGAGGGGGGAGGAGACUGGUGGCCCCCGGAGCGUUUUUGGUGGCCCAGGCGGGUUGCAGCGCCUAGGAAGGAAGGAGGGAGGGGUGUCUGUUCCGCUCUGCAUGCUUACUCGGAAGUAAGCCGGCCUUAAACUCCCCGGGAGGAAAGCAAGCGCAGCAUCGGCGGCCCGAGCCUAGGCAUGUUUACUCAGGUGUAAGCUUCCGCCAUGUAACCCCCCAAACCCUCCUCCGCAGCGGAUUAAACUCGCCCACCCCGCAAAGCUACCCGAAGGAAAGAGAUCUGGAAGCUGCAUUUGCUUGGACCGGAUAUUUAUUUUGCUUGUGUGAAUUAAGAGUGUAUUUGCAAUACUAAUAAAACAUUAAACAAAACAAAAA